UACUGGUGUUGAUAAUUCUCAAUCCUAUUACCAGGACAUCUCACAAGUGCAGCCGCAGCCGCCGCAACAGAGUAUUUCUACGGGUGCUUAUAAUGAAGUUUAUCAACAUCCAGUUUCUUAUGGAGGAUACCAACAAUUGCAGCCGAAGCAACAGUUUCCUGAAUAUAACCCUGUUUCAUUUCAGCCACCACCGACACAGAUGUUUGUUCCAACACACACAGCACAGAUUCCACAGCCAAG
rnacentral:misc_RNA from 1 species